UCAUUCAGAGUGAGAAGAUCAAGAGUGACUACACGUGUCUCUGGUUGGCAAGAUGCUAUGGCCAGUUCUACUAUGCGACCAAGGCUUUCGGUGUCCUGGAAAGAUUGGACCCCAAUCCUGAAUACUGGGAAGAGAAACACUGCGAGACAUCCUCCAAAUCUUGCGCAACAC